ensembl:lncRNA
GCCACAUUGAAAUCUAUUGAAAAUCAUAUCAAAAUGUUGACAAUAAAAUAAAUAAAAAGACUAUGUAAUUCCAAACACAGCCAAGUGUAGUUGUCAGCCGAAAACCGAUUCAGGUGAUCUGUGUUUGGCCUCAUCCGAAACCAUAUAAAAGGAGUGUCUUCUGAUUGUUUUUCCUUCGGAAAUGUGGAUCAAAGUGUUACAAUUUGCAAUGGAGCUCAAGCGCAGGAAACAUGCAGACACACUGGUGUGAUGCUAAGGUGUUUAUUUUCAGAACUGUGAGCUGACUACAAGUCGAGGUAGGAAAAUAACAACUGGAAUUAAUCCUAGGAAAACUCAAGAAAGGCACUUCACUACAACUAGUGGCGAGGAGGACUAAAUACUAAAACUAAGGGCACAAACUCACGGUGGGUAAGACCCAGGCAAGAAAGGCUAAUUCUAAGAUUUCGCGACUCAAAACUACAGGCUCGCAAAUUACUUAGGCUACUAUGAUACAAACUAUUAUUUCAACUACUAAGGCUUUGAAACAAUAUGAAGCAACUCUAUAACUAUCAGAAACAGAUUUCAAAACAAUUCAAAUAGCUGAUGUUCGGACUGGGCUCUAACUGGAAACCUCUGGGUGCAUAUGAUCCAAGGCAAUUGCAGCGCCUGGUAGGUUAUGGUGAGAACACCAGGGGGUCAGGCCGGCUCUGGUGAGUGAAUCGCUGACGCUGAGGAACCAAGAGAGAGAAGCGACAGAGAACCCAGGUGAGUCCAAGCAGGAACAGGUGGCUCUGGAGCUAGGACGAAGGAGGACAACCAGAGUUACAGGCACAAGAAUCAGUAGUUUCAAAACAACUGUGGUACACAAGUGAACAGUUACAGGCUGUGUCACAAUCCAGCACUGGGAGGUGAGUGGUGUCUGGUUUUAUUGCAGUGUGUGAGGCUUAAUUGGCUGCAUUCCAUCUGCUCCUGAACCGGCUGAUGAUUGUGGUGAUGUAGAACACCUGCCGCUGCAAUUACUCCAUGGAAAACCUAAAAAGGAAGAAAGGGGAGGAGAGAGAGGGGGAGAGGGUGCUAUCUGGGCCUGGCAGCUACCAACCUGACACAAAGAGCACCAGUUCAGGUUGGUAGAGAGAGAAGAGUGGCCAGGAGAGGGAGAGGAGGAAGGAGAGGAAGACCAAGAGCUGUGGUCUCUGAUGAAAUUAGGGCCACAGUGAUUGACCAUGUGGUAAAUCAUGGACUCUCUUUUAGAGAGGCUGGUUCAAGGGUGCAGCCAAUCUUGCAGCAUUCGACAGUUGCAUCAAUCAUGAGAAUUUUCCGGUAGAACAACAGGUAAGACAUGCAUCCCACAAUUGCCGUAUUUUACCAGAUUUUAUUUUUAAAAAGUUUUCUGUUUUUACAUCAGCUGGCAUUUUGGGAAAUCUAUUGAUUACAGUAUUUUGUGUUUCAUAUUACUGUACUGUAUGUAGGAUGUGUAGGUUGCCACCUAAAGGGGGGGGGGAGGUCGAAUUUUCACGGAUGUCCAGGAAACAGCUGUCAUUGAUAUGGUCAUUGCAAACAAUGCCAUGAAGCUGAGGGAAAUUCGGAACAGAGUGCUGAAAGACAAUGCAGACUUUGCCAAUGUGAACACCGUCAGCACUACCACAAUUGCCAGAGUCCUUGAGAAGCAUAAAGUAAGGAUGAAGCAACAGUACAAAGUACCUUUCGAAAGAAAUGAUGAACGUGUCAAACAACUCCGUUAUCGGUAUGUUCAGAUGGUCAUGGAGAUGGAGGCCAGACCAACUCCACAUGAAUUUGUAUAUGUGGAUGAAGCAGGAUUCAACCUGGUAAAAGACGCAGAGGAAGAAAUGUCAUUGGGCAGCAGGCAACAGUUGAUGUACCAGGCCAGAGAAGCGCAAAUAUUAGGUUGUGUGCAGCCCUCUCAAAUGGUGGUGUUGGGAAUAUUCUUAUCACAUUUAAUUAAUAUCCUAUCACAUUUAAUCAGCAAUUAAUUGCAUUUAAUUAUAACUCAUGUAAUCGACAUUUAAUCACAUUUAAUCAUAACUUGCCUUAUUAUGUAACCAUAAUCAUGAUCAUAUUAAUGUACUAUUUUUUAUAAUGAAUUUAUGUUAACCAUGCAAGACAAGUAUAUACUAGUGUGCAUAUAAUGUGCUUAUUUGAGCAUUAACCUUCUACAUACCAACUGCGGGGAUACUUGAGCAAAUGUUACUCAAGGCCUGUCUAAGAUAAGGUGUGUGCCACGCUUGUUAUCUGUCAUCGCAUGCAGAAGUAGAUUAAGAAAUGGAAAUGCAGCAAUUCGGAAAAUUUGACAAAUCUAUAUGUAGCGGGUCACGCACUCUCAAGACAACUGGGUUAAAAGCGGACUGCUUACAGGGUGAAGAUGAACCGGAUUGGAUGAAGACUGAAGACACCCGCGGAAUCUGCCUUAACCUAGACCAAUCAGAUAGAAGCACAUUUCCAUAUAUAAACCUCUGUAUAAUGAUACGUUAGCAUUCCCUCUUGUGACGGUUGCAGAAAUUCUCUGUAGACUAGACAAUUGCUGUUAGCUAGAUCAAGCGGGAAUCUGUAUGCAUACAUUCUGAUCAUUGAAUGCUACUAAAUAUUCUUA